GAAAGAAAGCUUUGCAUUUUAUGGCAUUGCCUGGAACAAUUUGAUUGAACAAAAAAUAUCAAAUGAAAUGAAAUGAAUAAACAAACAAACUGUGGUCCAAUUGACUGAGAUACUUGCCGAAAAACAUAUGUAGAGAUAUCUAAGUAUACGAGAGACACAAUAAUUUACGAUUGUUUGCAAGUAACGAGCCAAAAUUAACUAGAGUUGAAUUUCGAAAUUUAUCUUUUCACAGGGUGGUUGGCAACAACGAUUUGAUUUUGGAAUUUUGACACAACAUGUGAAUUUCCAACAAACUUUGAUCAUCACGACACAAUUUCAAAAUAUUCGUAUCAUUUUAUUUUCAUUUAUUUACAAUAAAAAUUCCCCAGAAAACAAAAAGAACAACAGCAGAAAAAAAAUCCCGUUUUGCAAACAAUCAUUGAGCGAAGCGUCUGCCAGGUUUCAAUGCGCGUUCAGCACUAAACGAAAAUGCCAACAAAAGAGAAUAAUGCAGAAGAACGAGAGAGCAAGAGAGAGAGAACAAGAGAGCGAGAGAAUAACUGGGGCAGAAUAAACGAUCCGCAGUGAGCUUGCGCUUGAGGCUGCGCAACGGAUUUCGUAGACAAAACUAACAAAGUGAAUUUGAAAGCAGAGCAGAGGGUUCGACGACAAAAUACCCUAGGGUAUCAACAACUGGCACUAAUGGAUCCCAUUGAAACUGAAAAUCACGCUCAAAUAACAUUUGUUUGUGGAAUUGAGUGAAAUUUCGCGCAACACGUGCACAAAGUACACACAGCAUGUGUGUGUGUGGGUGUGUGUUUGUGUACCUCAGGCAAAUGCAAAUGCACUAGAAGUAAUAUUUUAAAUAAACGAUAGAAGUACUUUAGUUCAGUGUUUAUGCGGGCUGUUGACAAACUUACAGCAAAAUAAACAUAAACAACAAAAGCUGCCGUAAAAUUCUAAUGAUCGGCAACAGCAGUUGAACAUCAAGUGGCUGCGGCACAGCUCAUAAAAAAAGAGUAAAAUGAAAAUAAAAUAGAAAUGGUGAACAACACGUAGUUGAAGAUAAACUUGGCUAUAUUUAAUUAGUCAUUUAAUGUGUCCAAGUAGCAAGUACUAUGUAUGUAGUUAUCGUGAAAUCAAACUGCAUAAACAAAGCUGCGUGAGUCAAACAGGCGACUGUUGUUUAGGUUCUAUGUCGAAUUAGAUAAAAGACAUAAAAAUAACUGGCCAAACUGUAUAAAUCAUAGCGACGUGCUCACCCCACGAGAGAUCGCAAACAGUACCCCGAAAAAAAAACUAAAUAAAUAAAUAAAUGUGUAUAAAGAAUAAAAGACAAUGAGGUCAAGUGCAAACAUAACUAAACGAUGUGCGCUGCCCAGUUGCAGUGCCACAAUAUGAAACGAAAAGCGGGUUAAUCAUACACAACAAAAGAAUGACAAAAUCCCAAAAUGACCUUGACAAAGAUCAGCAUAUGAAGCGGGAGCAACCACAAAACCAAGCCAAAAACUAACAGGUUGGCUGAUAAGUCCCCGGUCUGACACAUAGAUGGCGUCGUUAGUAAUGAAUUCAUAUUAUUUUUAUAUAGUACUAACUUUCAAAUGAUUCGUGUCAAAAUUUGACGUCUGUCAGUCAAUUAGUUUGUGAGAUAGAGCGUCUUUUGUGAAGCAACUUUUGUUAUUGUGAAAAAAAUGGAAAAAAAGGAAUUUCGUGUUUUGAUAAAAUACUGUUUUCUGAAGUGAAAAAAUACAGUGGAAGCGAAAACUUGGCUUGAUAAUAAGUUUCCGUAGUCUCCCUUAGGAAAUCAACAAUAAUUGAUUGGUAUGCAAAAUUCAAGCGUGGUGAAAUGAGCACGGAGGACGGUGAACGCAGUGGACGCGCGAAAGAGGUGGUUACCGUCGAAAACAUCAAAAAAAAUCCACAAAAUGAUUUUGAAUGACCGUAAAAAAAUUGAUCGAGAUAGCAGAGACCUUAAAGAUAUCAAAGGAACGUGUUGGUCAUAUCAUUCAUCAACAUUUGGAUAUGCGGGAGCUCUGUGCAAAAUGGGUGCCGCGCGAGCUCACAUUUGACCAAAAACCACCGUGCCACAAGUCAUUGAGAACGAUGGCAAAAAUUCAUGAAUUGGGCUUCGAAUUGCUUCCCCACCCACCGUAUUCUCCAGAUCUGGCCCCCAGCGACUUUUUCUUGUUCUCAGACCUCAAAAGGAUGCUCGCAGGGAAAAAAUUUGGCUGCAAUGAAGAGGUGAUCGCCGAAACUGAGGCCUAUUUUGAGGCAAUUCGAAGGAGUACUACCAAAAUGGUAUCAAAAAAUUAGAAGGUCGUUAUAAUCGUUGUAACGCUCUUGAAGGGAACUAUGUUGAAUAAUAAAAACGAAUUUUGACAAAAAAAUGUGUUUUUCUUUGUUAGACCGGGGACUUAUCAGCCGACCUGUUAAGAAAACAGAAAAAAUAAAAAGCCGGCGAUGUCGUAACAAUUUGUGCACGGGAAACAGCCGAGAAUGACAGAGAAAAAAGGCAACAACAUUUAUUUUUUUGCUGUGUUUCCCAUUACAUUAUUGUCAAAAUCAUUUUUU